rnacentral:snoRNA from 1 species
GGGACCAAUGAUGGGAAUGUGUUAUAAAGUAAGAAUUAUGUUUAAUCUAAAUCUGCACAACUCAGGUAAUUU